UACGGAGGGUGCAAGCGUUAUCCGGAUUCACUGGGUUUAAAGGGUGCGUAGGCGGGCAGGUAAGUCAGUGGUGAAAUCUCCGAGCUUAACUCGGAAACUGCCGUUGAUACUAUUUGUCUUGAAUAUUGUGGAGGUAAGCGGAAUAUGUCAUGUAGCGGUGAAAUGCUUAGAUAUGACAUAGAACACCAAUUGCGAAGGCAGCUUACUACAGGAAUAUUGACACUGAUGCACGAAAGCGUGGGAAUCAAACAGG
rnacentral:rRNA from 1 species